GGGGCAGCCCGGGAAAGGAGCUGAAGAAAUGAGAGAGAGGAGCGGCCGGGAUAAUGGGAAGAGGAAACAGGCAACCCCGAGUAGCCGGGUAGCCGGAGAAGGGCCCCGCCGGGCGUGGGCAGAAGCCAGCUAAGGGGCAGCGGCACCUGUGGUAGAGUUGCGGGGGAUUCUUUCCGAGCGCGACGGUCAGGCAAGGCUAACGCGGCUGGCAGUAUGGCCGGAGAUGGCGGGUGGCGAGCCAAGCCGCCGCCUGCUCGCCUCCCUCACUCACUUGCAGACUGUCGGGCGCCGACACACGCGCAAUGAGGUCGUCAAAGCUGGUGGUCCCUACGUCUCCCUCUCAUGCGGACCCGAGGCUGGACUGUGCUGCUGCCAUCUCGGCUCACUGCAACCUCCCUGCCUGAUUCUCCUGCCUCAGCCUGCCGAGAGGCACGCGCUGCCACGCCUGACUGGUUUUGGUGGAGACGGGGUUUUGCUGUGUUGGCCGGGCCGGUCUCCAGCCCCUAACCGCGACUGAUCUGCCAGCCUCGGCCUCCCGAGGUGCUGGGAUUGCAGACGGAGUCUCGUUCACUCAGUGCUCAAUGGUGCCCAGGCUGGAGUGCAGUGGCGUGAUCCCGGCUCGCUACAACCUCCACCUCCCAGCCGCCUGCCUUGGCCUCCCAAAGUGCCGAGAUUGCCG
rnacentral:lncRNA from 1 species